UCCGAGCCGCAUUUCGACCUACAACACAACUCAUGGCAACACUAGAUCCUUAACCCACUGAGCAAUGCCAGGGAUCAAACCCCCAACCUCAUGAUUCCUAGUUGGAUUUGUUUCUACUGCACCGCAACGGGAACUCCUGUAACAUCACUUUUAGAUAUUUUCCCCAACUCUAAUUUUAUGCAGAGAUUAUAGAAUAAUUGGUCUUUGUAUUUUGAAACUUUGAACUAAAAUAGUACAUGGAAUCUUCUUUUUUUUGGCUGUGCCACAGCAGCAAACUGAGCCAGAUUCUUAACCCACUGAACCACAUGGUUACUCCAGAAUCAUUAACAAGUAAAAACAGUUGCUUCUACAAUUGUCCUGAGAAAUUUAAACUGUUGAAAAGAUAUGAAUCUAAUGCUCUUACCUGGCUAUCUUAUUUCUGCCUUCACUGCCUCAAUAUCUGCAAAACAUUUAGCAUCUCUACUCAAGAACAUGAUCAGUCAACAGAAUACUACCUGAUGAGACCAUGUUAUCAAUAGAAGUUUAAUUAAAGAACUGGAUAUUGGGAAAAUCGAAAAGAUACUUUACAGAAAGAAGACAUACAAAUAAGUUAGCACAUGAAAAUAUGCCUAAUAUUCCUCAUCAGAAAUGCAAAUUAAAAUCACAAUGAAAUAUCUCUACACGCCCCCUAGAAUACCUCAAGCUAAAAAGACUGAUAAUACCAAGUCUUGGUGAAGAUGAGGAGGCUCGGGGAUGCAUUUACCCUAUGAUCAAGCAAUUCUAUUCCUAGGUAUUUGCCCAAGGAAAGUGAAAAAACAUUUGUCCACAAAAAAAUAUAGAUGAAUUCUCAAAGGUGCUUUUUUCAUGCUUAGAAUGGCCCCAAACUGGAGAAAAAAAAAAAUGUCCAUCAGCAGAAGAACAAUGUUCUAUUCGUAGAAUGGAAUGAUGGAAUAGCAGUAAAAAAGGAAAAACUGAUAUAUGCUAGAACAUGGAUAAAUCUCAAAGCAUUGUGUUGAGCAAAAAGAUCCAGGCAUAAAAGAAUAUUUAAUUGGGAGUUCCCCAGUGGUCUAGCGAUUAGAACUCAGUGCUUUUACCACGUGGCCAGGGUUUGAUCCCUGGUCUGGGAACUGAGAUCCUACAUCAAGCCGAUGCAUGUCGUGGCCAGAAAAUAUAAAUAAAUAAAGUUCUUAAUUGUAUGAUUCUGUUUCUACAAAGUUCAAGAACAGACAAGACUAAUCUACAGUGAUAGAAAUCAGAAGAAUGGUAGCUUCUCUGUGGGGCUAUUGACUAGAAAAGGUAUAAGAAAGCUUUCAGUGAUGAUGGAAAUAUUCUAUAAAUUGACUUGGGUGAUGGUUACAUGAGUGUACACAUUUUUCAAAGCUUCAUACUGUACACCUUUUACUCUAUGUAAAAUAAAUCUGCAUUUUUUAAAAAGAAAUGGAUAUUGUUGUUUAAGAUUGCAGUCAACACUUUUACAUUUGCUACUAAGUGUAAAAUACAAGAAAAUGCAUUCACGGUUGUUCCAUUUGUCUUAUUGUUCAACUCUUCAAGAAAGCACUGAAAUCAAAAUAAUUGUGUUUCUCAUCUUGUUCUGGUCCCCUGUGGAGGUAAUCUGAGAAAGUUCCUUGGAGUUCAUUAGAAGUGCUACAUUUUCGAGAAGUUUGUCAAAAUGCAGAAGAAAUAAGUAAAGGAAGAAGUGAUUUUUUUAAAAAGAGCAAAUGUUUUCUUCAUUCUAACUCUCUUCUAGAAUAUUUUUGAAGGUUUUAAAUGUACAAAAUCUUUGCACUUCCCAUAAUUAUAAGAUGGAAAUUUUAGGGUAGCCUGAAAUUCUUCAGUGAACUCUUAAACUUAAACUUAAACUUAACUCUUAAACAUUAACUCUGAACCUUUCUAACAGGCUUAGAUUUUAUUAAGAAUAAAGAUAUGGAUGUGUGUCUUUCCCAGACCUAUGCUUAAAAUAGCCCUUGAUAGCCCUCAGUCUGUAGUGUGUUUCUGUUGGAUAGAUGGCCCAGAAUCAAGGUCUUGUGAAUGCAUACAAACACCCUAAUAAAGCUUAGGAGUGUUGGAGUCCCCCCAGCUCCACCAAAGCCCUGCUGUUAGGUCUUCAAGGCAGAUGCAAAGUCAUAUGAGUUACUCUUGGAGUUUCCUGGUGGCCUAGCAAUUAAGGAUCUGGCAUUGUCACUGCUGCAGCCUCGGUCACUGCUGUGGCAUAGGCUCAACCCCUGGCCUGGGGAACUUCUUGACAUUUUUAUGGGGUCUCCACAUAAAACCCUCAAGUCCACUGUCUAACCCUGAAAAUACCCUAGGUCUUCCCAGCUCAGGUCAGACCAACCCUCUGCCAGCUCCAACCACAUAGACCAGGUGGGAGGGGCCAAAGUGUUUCACAUAAGAUGUCCCUCAACUCUGGCCUCAGUGGUCCAGUGGGAGCUCAGGUCCAGCACCUUGCAUGUACUCCUUCCUGCCUGGGUAACUCAGGAUCUGGCCACCACCACCUGCUUUGAGACCAUCAGUCUCAUCCUGCCCUUCAUCCUUUCUUGACUGAGUUAGCUCAGUCAAGAAACCCAGGCUUUCCAGGUCACCUUGCAAGCUCUCAUCCCAAGUAGUUCUUCAUAUUCCUUUUUAUUUCUCCAUUUCCACUCCCCCAACUUCUGAAACACUUCCUCUGUGCCCUCUGAUAUUCACACCAACAAAACAUCCUCCAUCCUCAUUCUUCUCUGCAAGUCCUCUUUCCUUUCCUUUCCUUUCCUUCCUUCCUUCCUUCCUUCCUCUCUCUUUCUUUCAGGGCCCCAUCUGCAGCAUAUGGAGGUUCCCAGGCUAGGGGUUGAAUCGGAGCUACAGCUGCCGGCCUACGCCACAGCCAUAGCAACACAGGAUCCCAGCCUUGUCUGUGACCUACGCCACAGUUCAUGGGAAUAGCAGAUCUUUAACCAGCUGAGCAAGGCCGGGGACUGAACCCGAACCCUCAUGGAUACUAGUUAGGUUCUUAACCCGCUGAGCCACAAUGGGAACUCCCCCCUUUACUUUCUUAUUCUCAUUUAAACUUGAAUCUCCUCUGAGAACACUGCUUCUUCUGCAUUCCUCCUGCUCCCUCACACCGCUGGACCUGGCAAAGUAGGAUGCCUUCGUUUCUCUCUGUUGCUGCUUCCCUCCCUAAAACCACCCAGCUUUGAGGCUCGUUGUUAGGUUCCACUGCUCCAUAAUGGCCUCACAAGUCACUUCCCUUUGUUCUAUGGACAUGCUAGUCUCAGACUCUCCGUCAGUCUCCAUCACUACUCUUUGUAUAACUCAGUGAUUUCAACAUUCACAUGGAUAGUGCUUCUAAUACACUGGUUUCUCAAUUUCCUGACCUUCUUUCCUCCAAUAAUCAUGGCUUCUCCACCUUGGCUUUGGCCACUCAUUCUAGUGGUCCCACCCAUGAGCAAAACUCCUUAAAAGAGGUGUGUGUGUGUGUGUGUGUGUGUGUAUAUAUAUAUAUAUACACCUAUGUACUAUGUACAUACAGGAAUACAAUAUAGUGAUUCACAAUUUUUAAAGCUUCUACUCCAUUUAUAGUCAUUGUAAAAUAUUGGCUAUAUUCCCCAUGUUGUGUAAUAUAUCCUUGUAACCUAUUUUAUACAUAAUAGUUUGUACUCCACAAUAUAGUCUUUCAUGUUCUACUAAAAACACCUUUGGCUUUUAUUCUUCCUUAUAACCACAAGAAUUUUUCCCGCUGAUUUUCCCUGUUUUCCCCACAUAUCAAGCAUAUGUUUUGUGGACUUUAUUUUGCUUUUUCUUUGUUAAUGUUAUAUUAUUUGUUCUUCUCUAACAAUCCCAUAGUCUUGUUUAAUAAAAUCUCUUAUUCUCUGGAAAGUCGU
rnacentral:lncRNA from 1 species